rnacentral:tRNA from 1 species
GCGUCCAACGUAUUAUUGGUGGGUACAGCGCGUUGCCAACGCGUAGGGGUGAGUUCGAUUCUCACUGGACGCUCCA